rnacentral:rRNA from 1 species
UUAGGUGGUUACAGCGGCAGGGUCCCACCUCUUCCCAUUCCGAACAGAGCCGUUAAGCCUGCCCGCGCCGAUGGUACUGCAAUGCAAUGCGGGAGAGUAGGUCGCCGCCUUUU